rnacentral:rRNA from 1 species
AUGCGACGGCACCAUUGUCCUCGUCCGAAUGAGUUUACUCUUGCCAGUCUCCUCAGUGCGUGCGCAACUGCUGCGUCAUUGGACGCUGGUCGCCAACUCCAUGCACUUGCUGUCGCUGCUGGACUUGAACACCAUGCCAUGGUCAGGAGCGCGCUCAUUGACAUGUAUGGAAAGAGCGGCAACAUGUCAGAUGCUGAUGUUGUAUUUUUGAAUCGCACGAAAGAUGAUGUGGUUUCAUGGACUGCGAUGAUCGUCGGGAAUGCUGAGCAUGGCCACAGCAAAAGGGCACUUGAAUUGUUUGAGGAAAUGUGCCGUGUUGGGCUAAAGCCGGACCAUGUUGCGUUCAUUGGUGUGCUCAGUGCUUGCUGUCAUGCUGGGGCAGUUGAGCUUGGAUUGAGGUACCUCAAUGCAAUGAGCAAAAGCUACGGACUGGAGCCGUCAAAGGAGCACUAUGGCUGUGUCGUGGAUUUGUUGGGCAGAGCUGGUAGAAUAGAUGAGGCUGAGGAGUUGAUUGGUGGUAUGGCAGCUAAUGAAAGAGAUGGAGUUGUUUGGACAUCUUUGCUUAGGGCAUGUGCAGCUCGAGGGGAAGAGCAAACCGGGAAGAAAGCUGCAGAGAGGGUAAUGGAGGCAGAGCCAUGGGGUGCAGGAGCACAUGUGGCAAUGGCAAAUCUAUACGCCAGCAAGGGACAGUGGUGUGAGGCAGCACAAGAGAGACAUAUGAUGAAGCAGAAAGGGGUUGUGAAAGGAGUAGGCUGGUCAUCAGUCACAGUUGGAGGGGAGGAGAGGGGAGUUGGGGUGUUUGUUGCAGGUGACCGGACACACCCCCAAGACAAUUUGAUCUAUGAGAUGCUUGACUUGAUUUACUAUGGAGUUGGAAUGGCUCGGUAUGUACCCGAUCAGAUGAAUUUAGCAUCUGAGGUAGAGCUAAUGGUUAACACUUACAGUAGUAGUUAUAAC